UUCAUCCAGACAGCAGGACGGUGGCCAUGGAAGUCGGAACCCGCUAAGGAGUGUGUAACAACUCACCUGCCGAAUGGAUUAGCCCUGAAAAUGGAUGGCGCUGAAGCGGACGGCUUAUACACCGCCAUCAGGGCAGGUUGUAGGCCCUGAUGAGUAGGAGGGCGUGGGGCUUGUGGCGCAGGCCGUGGCGCGAGCCCGGUUGAAACAGGCUCUAGUGCAGAUCUUGGUGAUAGUAGCAAAUAUUCAAAUGAGAACUUUGAAGACUGAAGUGGAGAAAGGUUUGACGUGAACAGCAGUUGGACGUCAGUGAGCCGCUCCUAAGAGAUAGGGAAAUUCCGUUCGGAAGCGAGUGGUUUGGCGCCGGCAACGGCGUUGGAACGCUCCGCGCUCGAAAGGGAACACGGUUAAUAUUCCGUGGCCGGGAAGUGAGUGUUGCGGCGACGCAUGCGAGCCUGGGAACGUCGGAGGUAGCCUCGGGGAGAGUUAUCUUUUCUUGUUAACAGAUGGCAUGGGCGUGGAAUCGGUUUACCCGGAGAUACGCCUAUGGUUCUGGUAAAGCACACUGAUUUUCUGUGUGUCCGAUGCGCUACCGACGGCCCGUGAAACCCCAGGUAUCGGAACGUGUGGGCCUUUAGUGCCUGCAGAUUCAUACACCCCCGGGCGUACUCAUAACCGCAUCAGGUCUCCAAGGUGUGCAGCCUCUAGUUGAUAG
rnacentral:rRNA from 1 species